rnacentral:rRNA from 1 species
GAAGAAGGCCUUCGGGUUGUAAAGUACUUUCAGUAGGGAGGAAGGUGGUUAAGUUAAUACCUUAAUCAUUUGACGUUACCUACAGAAGAAGCACCGGCUAACUCCGUGCCAGCAGCCGCGGUAAUACGGAGGGUGCAAGCGUUAAUCGGAAUUACUGGGCGUAAAGCGCAUGCAGGUGGUUUGUUAAGUCAGAUGUGAAAGCCCU